AGCACCUGUGUUUGUUUUUGCUUAACUUAUGGACAAAGACAGGUGUAAAAACUAAAUCCUCUUUUGCAACCCAGAACUCAUUGUUUGGUAUGAGUUUUGAUACAUAUAAGAAGGAACAUU
ensembl:snoRNA